UAUUCGUUGGUGUACAGAGCACAUAAAGUUUUGAUCUUUAAAGAGAUGGUGUAAAUCCGUUACGUAUAA
rnacentral:tRNA from 8 species